ACGGCAUCAGUAAUGAUGGGUAGGGGAGCUUCCCAUACGGGUUGAAGCAUGACCGUAAGGACAUGUGGACAGUAUGGGAGUGAGAAUGUUGGCAUGAGUAGCGAGAUGUGGGUGAGAAUCCCACAGGACGUAAACCCAAGGUUUCCAGGGGAAGGUUCGUCCGCCCUGGGUUAGUCGGGACCUAAGCUGAGGCCGAAAGGCGUAGG
rnacentral:rRNA from 1 species